GGGGAAUUUUGCACAAUGGGGGAAACCCUGAUGCAGCGACGCCGCGUGAUUUAGAAGGCCUUCGGGUUGUAAAAAUCUUUUGUACAGGAAGAAAAUGACGGUACUGUACGAAUAAGGUCCGGCUAAUUACGUGCCAGCAGCCGCGGUAAUACGUAAGGACCGAGCGUUGUCCGGAAUCAUUGGGCGUAAAGGGUACGUAGGCGGACUAAUAAGUUAGAAGUUAAAGGCUAUAGCUCAACUAUAGUAAGCUUUUAAAACUGUUAGCCUUGAGUGCAGGAGAGGAGAGUGGAAUUCCUAGUGUAGGGGUGAAAUGCGUAGAGAUUAGGAGGAAUACCAGUGGCGAAGGUGACUUUCUGGCAAUCAUCAGACGCUGAGGUACGAAAGCGUGGGUAGCAAACA
rnacentral:rRNA from 1 species